GACAGAGGGUGCAAACGUUGUUCGGAAUUACUGGGCGUAAAGCGCGUGUAGGCGGCUAUGUAAGUCGGGCGUGAAAUCCCACGGCUCAACCGUGGAAGUGCACCCGAAACUGCGUAGCUAGAGUCCUGGAGAGGAAGGUGGAAUGCUUGGUGUAGAGGUGAAGUUCGUAGAUAUCAAGCGGAACACCGGUGGCGAAGGCGGCCUUCUGGACAGUGACUGACGCUGAGACGCGAAAGCGUGGGGAGCAAACAGG
rnacentral:rRNA from 1 species